UCCUUGGAGGAUUGGUGGUUAGGCCUCGGCGCUGUCAUCGCUGCCGCCCGGGUUCGAUUCCCGGCCAGGGAA
rnacentral:tRNA from 1 species